AUUACAGCCCCCUCCCCUAAAUCCACAACCCCCACCCAACAACCCAGCAGGAAGUGGGGGAGGAGGCCUUUGUGACUCAAAUAACUUAGGCAAGAAAAACUGUCAGGGGAUCCCCGGCUCGCGGCCCCCAGGAGGCUGAGGUCGGAUGGCCAGCCCGCCCCGGCGUCGCGCGAACGGGGGACAGGGAAGCGAAGACCAGCCCGGUGUUAUCUGUUCAACGUCCUGGCGCCGAGGCCACCGUUGUGACUGGAAGGCGGAGUCCUAACCUCAGCUGCCACCGUUUCCCCAGUGAGCACCAGCUGUGUACCCGACCCUGGGCUGGCACCCUUCCACUGUACAGAGUCCACACCCCAGCGACAGCCCACACUGAUGUGGCAAGUGCGGAUGGCCACCUCCACCCACGUGUAUGGUUGUUCCACGGCCCUGAAAGCAGUGAAAAUGCUGGAACCAUUUCGCAGAUGAGAAACCAAGGGCUCCCCGGCUGUGGGACAUUUACAACAAAGAACACAGGGAAACAACAAUAAUGGCCAGAGCAGGCGAGUGGCCGAGUGAGUAAGGAAGACAGCUGGCCACCCCACACCAGCCCCGAGCACACGCUUCCCAGGGCUUCGUGAGGCGGCCAGCAUCGACGUGCCAGAAAGCUAAGUGGAAUGAGGAGAGCAACACGUUACAUGACCGCUGGACAACCGGCUACAUUAGAUUAUGCACAGUGGAUAAUGGUAUUGUCUCGGUGCUAAAUUUGCUGAAUUCAAUAACUCUGCUAUGGUCAAGUAGGAGAACGUUCUUGAUCUCAGAGGCUGAGACAUUAAGGAGUAAAGGAGCAGAAUAUCUGCAAUCUACUCUCAAGCGAUUUCGAAUAAAAAUGUAUGCAUA